AACGAACGCUGGCGGCAUGCCUAACACAUGCAAGUCGAACGAAACCGUCGGGCCUAGGUGCGCACGGGUGGUGGACGCCUGGUAACUUGCCCGUAAGUUCGGUGUAACUGCCCGAAGGGGGUGCUAAUACCGGUGAAUGUCUUCGGAGCAAAGAGUUAUCGCCUUUGGAUGGGCGCGGGUUGGUUUAGCUGGUUGGUAGGGUAAAAGCCUACCAAGGCGACGAUCCAUAGCUGGUGUGAGAGGAGGACCAGCAACACUGGGACUGAGACACGGACCACAACGCUACGGGAGGCAGCAGUAGGGUAUAUAGGAGAAGGGGCGAAAGUGUGAGACAGCCAUGCGGGGGGAGUGAUGCAGGGCUUAGGGUUGUAAAGCUCUUUUACCCGGGAUGAUAAUGACAGUACCGGGAGAAUAAGCACCGGCUAACUACGUG
rnacentral:rRNA from 1 species